UGCUGUUCUUUUUGGGCAAAC
rnacentral:snRNA from 1 species